rnacentral:rRNA from 1 species
GACGAACGCUGACAGAAUGCUUAACACAUGCAAGUCAACUUGAACUUCGGUUUGGGUGGCGGACGGGUGAGUAACGCGUAAAGAACUUGCCUCACAGAUAGGGACAACAUUUGGAAACGAAUGCUAAUACCUGAUAUUAUGAUUUUAGGGCAUCCUAGGAUUAUGAAAGCUAUAUGCGCUGUGAGAGAGCUUUGCGUCCCAUUAGCUAGUUGGAGAGGUAACGGCUCACCAAGGCGAUGAUGGGUAGCCGGCCUGAGAGGGUGAUCGGCCACAAGGGGACUGAGACACGGCCCUUACUCCUACGGGAGGCAGCAGUGGGGAAUAUUGGACAAUGGACCAAGAGUCUGAUCCAGCAAUUCUGUGUGCACGAUGAAGUUUUUCGGAAUGUAAAGUGCUUUCAGUUGGGAAGAAAAAAAUGACGGUACCAACAGAAGAAGUGACGGCUAAAUACGUGCCAGCAGCCGCGGUAAUACGUAUGUCACAAGCGUUAUCCGGAUUUAUUGGGCGUAAAGCGCGUCUAGGUGGUUAUAUAAGUCUGAUGUGAAAAUGCAGGGCUCAACUCUGUAUUGCGUUGGAAACUGUGUAACUAGAGUACUGGAGAGGUAAGCGGAACUACAAGUGUAGAGGUGAAAUUCGUAGAUAUUUGUAGGAAUGCCGAUGGGGAAGCCAGCUUACUGGACAGAUACUGACGCUGAAGCGCGAAAGCGUGGGUAGCAAACAGG